GGUGGCCUGAUCCUGUAAUCUCCAGCCCCCUUCCUCUCUCUAAGAUGGUCCUGAUUUGCUUCAAGGCUCCAGGAUGACCUCCAGGAUGACCGAGGCAGACGCCUUGAGAGAGGGUGCCAGUUCUCCCCGUGCUCAACACCUACCACUUCUCAUCGCUUCUAGAUCCUAAAUUACAUUCACUGUCACUGUAUUCAGAGGACAAGAGGCAAAAAUCAAAUCCAGAACUUGAAAACAGGAAGCAAAUUACAGUAUUUUGCUAAUUUAUAUUGGCAAAAUUCCAGAAAGCAAGACUGGAGCGCCUGUCCUUUACCAAGAAAUACACUGAUGGCAGGUGCACUACCGUCCUGGAAACGUGCUUCGUUGGCUGAUUUCUGCAGUGCCGGGAUGGAGAUGGGAGACGUUCCAUUAGCGCAGACUCUGCGAUUUCCACGGGAUGUAAGGAUGUCCAAGAUGCAAAAGGCAAGUAGGAGUGCUUAACAGAGCAGAGGCAGCGUGGCACGGUAACUCAGCAGGCAGCAAGGAUGGAGUGAGCGUUAGGAUGGGCCCACAGAGGCCUUGGGUCGGGGUGAUGGGUGCUGAGACCCUAGGCUGGAAAUAGACAAACAAUACAUUAAGGUUCUACCUGAUCUAUGCUACCAACAUAACUGAAUAUAACAACACAAC
rnacentral:lncRNA from 1 species